CUAAAUUAAUUAUUUGUUUAAAAAGGAAUUUUUAUUUUUGUAUAUUGGAUUAUGAGUGGUGAAGUCUUUAAAAAUGAUCUAAAUUAGGUGUUAAACAUUGUUGUGGGUAUUUACAAAACGUCAAUGAUAUUUUCUCUUUAUAUAAUUAAAAUAAUAU